UCCGCUCGUGGUGAUGUCAGGAGCUCCUCGU
rnacentral:piRNA from 1 species